rnacentral:rRNA from 1 species
UGGUGGAGUGAUUUGUCUGGUUUAUUCCGUUAACGAACGAGACCUCGACCUGCUAAAUAGUCACGUUAAUCUCCUUGAUUGGCGGCAGUACUUCUUAGAGGGACUUUCGGUCGCUUAGCCGAAGGAAGUUCGAGGCAAUAACA